CUCCUCUCUCUGCUACGUGCUUACUCAGCAGGUUUCCAGCCAGCUUUUGCAAGCCAGGGUGCUCUGGACAGAGGCUGGGGGAGUUGUUCCCAGAGGGAGGAAACAGGUGAUCAGAACUGCCCAAGUUGUCGUUUGGCUGAUGGAGGGGACAGAAAGUCUGAGUGAGGUCCCUGCCCCUAGGUUGUUGUUGGUCGUGUGGAAUGGGGCCGUUUACUCGGAGGGAGGCGGUUAGUGGAGAGGAGGGCUGUGCGCUCGGUUGAGGGAGUGUAGCUGCUGUUUGGAGACUUUGAUUCCAACCCUGUAAAUAUUUGGAAGUGGCUGAGGGACAUAGCUCGUCUGUGCCUGCCCUACUAGUUAGAGAGUAACGAGAGUUUCUGGAUUUGGGGAGGAGUGUGAAAGUUCGGAAGGCUCUGGGCUCCAAUCUUCCUAGCGCUGUGACCCUUUAAAACAGUUCCUCGUGUUGUGGUGACCCCCAACCUUAAAACUGUUUCUGUUGCUACUUCAUAACUAAUUUUGUUACAGCUGAGUCAUAAUAGACAUAUCAGUGCUUUCUGAUGAUCUUAGGGGACUGCUGUAAAAGGGUCGUUAACCCUCAAAGGAGUCGUGACUCCCAGGUUGAGAACUGUCCUAGGGGCGGCUAGCUGGAUGGCUUAGCAGUUAGGACCAGUUGCUGGUCUUCCAGAAGACCCAAGUUGGUUUCCCGGCAGCCAUGUCGGCUGAUCUCAAUUGACUGUACUGUCAGCUCCAGGAGGACCCGAUGUCCUGGCUGGCCUCUGCUAGCACACACUUGCAUUUGCACAGAUACACACUCGUACACAUAAAUAAAUGACUGUUUGAGAUCUUAAAAACAAGCUGGUCACAUAGGCACCCACCUUUAGCCCCAGCUCCCCGGAGGCAGAUGCUAAGGCAGGCGGAUCUCUGUGAGUUUGAGGCCAGCCUGGUCUACAUAGAGAGUUCCAGGACAGCCUGGGCUACACAAGAAGAAUAAAAUAAAAUCUUAAGACAACAAUGAGCCUUAAAAUGGGCGUGGUGUAAUCCUGGUCCUUGGGAGGUAGAGCGGAAGACAGGUCAUCCUCAGCACCACAUCAAGUGUGAGGCCGUCAAGGCUAUAUCAAGGCUAUGUUAGCAUGCUUGCACACACUUUAAUCCAGACAGAGUCAGGAGGAUUCACAGCCAGCCUGAUCUAUGUGAGACUCCUCUCAAAACAAAACAAGAUGAUAAAUGGCCAGGAGGUCAUUCUCUAUGCACACGAUGAUUCCUUCAGUGAACCAGUGUGGAAGGGUGUAGCUGUAUUUGGCCUCCAUGUUUAUCUUUUCUUUAUUGCAUCUUAUUGCCAUAAUCCAAAUAUGUAUGACCCACCCAUUGGACGGCUAUAAAUCAGCGAGCUGUGCUCCUAAAAUACUGUAUCCAUCAUUUCAGGUCAUUUCAGGUCAUUUCAGGGCACUCUCAUUACUCCUGACCGGUCAUCACCCUCGGCCUCCCGCUCCCCUCCCUCCCAGCCUUAGAAAUGGAAGCACACAGCCUGCAGUCUUUCGGCUGACUUCCUUCUUCCUCCGUGUGCCGUCAAGGUCCGCCUGUGUCCCAGCCCCCAUUGCUAUUUCAUUUCCCUUCGUUUCUCAACAACCGUCUGGAGCAUGAUGGACCUGUGUUUUACUUCUUCAUUUGUGAGCUGAUCAGCAUUGAAUAGCUUCCAUCUUGGGACUGUUACGGGUAGUGCUGCCGUGGAUGUUCUUGUGGGAUACAGUUGCAGUCCUGUUAUCCCUGUGCCGGUCCCAGUACUCUACAGUGGUGCCAACGCCUCUUAGUGUCAGUGUUUGUUAGCGUGGCUCUGUCUUUGUGUAAAUUCUUUACAAUUCUGUGGGUCUGUUUUUCCUCACUCUUGGGUUUCCUGCCCCCUUUAUAACUUGAAUUUUAUAGUCAGGUGGUGGUACACAGCUUUAAUCCCAGCAUUUAGGAGGCAGAGAAAGGCAGAUCUCUAUGAGUUUGAGGCCAGCCUGGGCUACAGAGUGAGCUCUAGGACAGCCAGAGCUACACAAAGAAGCCUUGUCUCAAAGUAACAAAAUCAGAAAAACAAAUUUGAAUUUCAGCUGGAAGUGGUGCCAUAGCCUGUAGUCCCAGCACUUGGGAGGUGGAGGCAGGAGGAUCAAGAUUUCUAGGUCAUCCUUGGCUAAUAAUGAACUCAAGGCCAACCUGGGCUGAACUCCCACAAAUUGUCCUUUGACCUCCACAGCUGAGCUAGGGCAUGCAUAUCCCUUCACAAUAAUAAUAAAUUAAAUGCACCAAAAACCUUAGAAAUAAGGGGACUGCUUUAGCCCCUUAAGCAAAACAAAAAGUUAUAUGAUACAUAAAAGGAGGGAAGUCGUGAACACAUUGUAUCUGUACAGCUUGCUUGUGUUCUUACUGGUUAACAUUUGGGUUCCUUCCUCCUGUGUCCCUGCACAGAACGUCCCCAUCACCCCACAGGAUGCUCUGCUCUUCCUGGCCACUGACCCCUCUUCCCCAGGGACUAACAUACACAAUCAUAGAUAGCUUCACUUGGCCCUAAUCCUCAAGCUUUAGCCCUCAAGCUUUCUGCAGAAGCUUUUGCUCUUGUGACGAGCCUAGGCUACUAGCAAGUACCGGGCUAAAGAGCGAAUCCCUGUCUCCAAAAAAACAAAGACGAGAAACAUACAGAGUCUGUACCCGAGUAAGUUUUCAUUCCUUCCGUUUGAUGUCUGUAGUUGUCAUUUUGUUGUCGGUUUGAGACAGGGUGUCACUAUGUAGCCCUGAUUAGCCUGGAGCUCACCGUUUAGAUUAGGGUGGCCUCAAACUCACAGAUUCCCCUGCCGUUGCCUUCUGAGUUGUAAUUCUUUCUCAGGAUUAGAGAGUCAGGGCUGGCCAUCCCCUUCUGUGAAAGAUUAAAUAGUAAAUCCAA